GAUAUCGUGGCCGAGCGGUCUAAGGCGCCACGUCAGGAUCAACCCUUAAUACAAUCUCUGGAUUCCGUGGUCCGAAGGGGCGUGAGUUCGAGUCUCACCGAUAUCA